GAGUGAGUGAGUGAGUGAGUGAGAGAGAGAAGAAAGGAGAGAGCGCACACACGUGCAAGGAAACGCGACACAAGUCCAUACGCACCCAAACACGCCAAACAUCUCCCGAUCUGAAUGGAAAGUCCAGUGUAGGUUACCGGUGACCCACGCGGCACGAAACGUGUUAACAAUGUGCAAGCUUGUCAGGUGCACGAUGUACGUUCUUUUUCUUUAACGAAAAGAAGGCGCGAUGGCUGACGAUUGCAUUCGCCAUCCACUACGAUCUUCUCCCACUACUAGCACUUUCUGUCCUCCUACUCUGAUGCCAGUUGGGCCACCUCUUUCUGAAAAUGAUGUACCGUCACCGAUCAUUGGAUGCAACUGAAAUCAAGGCUAUCGAUUGGAUGCCUUGGAUUGGACCUCUAACGCUCACCUAGGAAUGUCGCGACCUCGUGUGGAGAUGCAGAUUAACGUAAUCUCCGUACGCAUUAUCGGAUCGCGAUCGGCGACGCCUUCGAAUUGCUCUAUACGAAGGAUUUAUGUUAAUUCUAAAUAACCUUCGCUGAAAUUAACCGUUUUGCGUAACGUUUAAAGAUUUUUCCCCGACUGAGAGGGAGCCUUCAAUGCAAUCAAUUUUUUGUCCAGAUCUCACAAUUAGAAGUAAACACGUACGAUAUAUCAAUAUUAUA